UACGUAGGGGGCAAGCGUUGUCCGGAAUCAUUGGGCGUAAAGCGCGUGUAGGCGGCUUGGUAAGUCCGCUCUGAAAGCCCGGGGCUCAACCCCGGGAGGCGGGUGGAUACUGUCAAGCUCGAGUCCGGAAGAGGCGAGUGGAAUUCCUGGUGUAGCGGUGAAAUGCGCAGAUAUCGGGAAGAACACCUAUGGCGAAGGCAGCUCUCUGGGACGGUACUGACGCUGAGACGCGAAAGCGUGGGGAGCGAACAGG
rnacentral:rRNA from 1 species